CGGCAUGCGCUACAACUAAGUGCACCACACCUCCCUCUCUCCCUUAUCCCCUCUCAUCACGUUCUCCCUCCCUCCCCUUCCUCCCUCGACUCCGAUCCAGAUCCAGGGCCAUGGUGCGCCCUCUUCCCCAUCGCCGCCGGCCACCAUCCCCACACUUUCUCUCCCUUGUCCCGUGGAUCCAUCUCUUCCAUGGCUGCCUCCCACACCGUCUCCUCCUUCCCCCAUCUCAUCCUGUUUUUCUUGUUUGGGAGCGACGAGGGAUUGGCGAGGCUGGAGGCGAGCACGUGGAAGAGCGGAGCGGGGCUGGCGAGGGGAGGGCGCGGAAGAAGGAGAGUGCCGCCGCCGGGGUGGGCGCGGCGCAGAUGCGGUGGAGCGCGACCAUGGGGUCGUCCGGUGGGGGCGGCGGCGGGAGGAAGGGGAGCGGAGGCGGAGGCGCAGCGAGUCAAUGAGGCAUCGCGUGGCAGAGGAGACGGCGGCUGUCGGGCAGGGGCAUCGCGUGGCAGAGGAGGCGGCGGCUGUCGGGCGGGGGCAUCGCGUGGCAGAGGAGACGGCAGCGGCGGCGAGACGAGGGACGCCCGAGCUCCUCGGCCCAGCUCAACAGAAGGACCUAGAAGCACUUUUUCUCAUACAUUGGCAUAUCGUAUCAAUGGAGCAUGGGCGACCCAUGGUGCACAUACAGCUUGCUACCGAAGUACCCAUCAGUGGCACAUAUCAGUGCUUUGUUCUUUGGAGGCAUAUACCCGAGGAUCAGUCUAAGUCAGAAGAGAUGAUACACAGGUACAUAUAUAUGCUCAAUUACCUCUGGCCGCGUACACAUGGAUAAGGCAAGAUGGAAGCUCACACUACCGAUACUAAUGUAAGACCAAAGCCGAUCUAGGAAGGGAUGUUGGGCUCUUGGCGCCCCCGAGUCAUGUCUGAAAAAAUCAGCACUGCAGAUUGUUUGGUAGAAGAUAGCGAAAGAGUGCUGCAGGAUAAUGAGAUGUUGAAGCGGCAGACUGAAUCCAUGACACCGAAGUGCAAUUGCGGCAGAUUAUCUCUAUCUUUUCUUUUCAUUUUUCUUAUUAUUGAGUGAGAACAGAAUGAGGAACUGUGUGAUAGUACAUACAACAACUGUAGUAAAAAGAAACUUAUGUUUGCAAU
rnacentral:rRNA from 1 species